AUGGUGCACAUCCUGCCGGCGGCCUUCGAGGCGCUGCGGUCCCCGUGCCUCGUGGGCGGGCCGUGGAAGCGCUUCCCGUUCGCCGGGCUGGUCGCCAUGCUCGCCGCGGUCGCCACGCUCAUCGUGGACACCGUCGCCACGGGGUACUUCCACCGGACGAACGCCAAGCGGGCCGCCGCCGUCACCGACGAGCCGGCGCAUGACGACCCGGAAUCCGCCCCCGACGGGCACCACGGGCACGCGCACGGCAUGUCGAUGCUCGCCUCCCCGGACAACGGCGACGAGCUCGUGCGCCACCGCGUCAUCUCGCAGGUGCUGGAGCUGGGCGUGGUUGUCCACUCGCUGAUCAUCGGCAUGUCGCUGGGCGCCUCCGACUUCCCGAGCACGGUGCGGCCGCUGGUGCCGGCGUUGACGUUCCACCAGCUCUUCGAGGGCAUCGGCCUCGGAGGCUGCAUCGUCCAGGCCAAGUUCCGGCUCAAGUCGGUGGUGGCGAUGGGGCUGCUCUUCUCGCUGACGACGCCGGCGGGGAUCGGCGUGGGCAUCGCGAUAUCCUCGGUGUACGACGAGAGCAGCCCGACGGCGCUGGUGGUGCAGGGGCUGCUGGAGGCGGCCGCGGCGGGGAUCCUGGUGUACAUGGCGCUGGUGGACAUCCUGGCCGAGGACUUCAGCAAGCCCAGGGUGCAGAGCAGGGCGCGGCUGCAGCUCGCGCUCAACGUCUCGCUGCUGCUCGGGGCCGGCCUCAUGUCGCUGCUCGCGGUCUGGGCCUGA
rnacentral:rRNA from 1 species